GGUCUCGUAGCUUAGUUGGUUAGAGCGAUGGUCCGAUGUACCGUAGGUUGAUGGUUCAAGCCCAUUCGAGACCA
rnacentral:tRNA from 1 species